AUUGAACGCUGGCGGCAAGCCUAACACAUGCAAGUCGAACGAGUGGCGGACGGGUGAGUAAUGUAUGAGAAACUGCCUGCGGGAGGGGGAUAACUACUGAAAACGGUAGCUAAUCCCGCAUACCAUCGGAUGUGCCCAGAUGGGCUUAGCUAGUAGGUGGGGUAAAGGCUCACCUAGGAGACGAUCCCUAGCUGGUCUGAGAGGAUGACCAGCCACACUGGAACUGAGACACGGUCCAGACUCCGCCGUGAGGCAGCAGUGUGGAAUAUUGCAAAAUGGGCGCAAGCCUGAUGCAGCCAUGCCGCGUGUAUGAAGAAGGCCUUCGGGUUGUAAAGUACUUUAAGCGGGGAGGCGUUACCCGCAGAAGAAGCACCGGCUAACUCCGUGCCAGCAGCCGCGGUAAUAC
rnacentral:rRNA from 1 species